rnacentral:rRNA from 1 species
UACGAAGGGGGCUAGCGUUGCUCGGAAUCACUGGGCGUAGAGGGUGCGUAGGCGGGGUUUUAAGUCAGGGGUGAAAUCCUGGAGCUCAACUCCAGAACUGCCUUUGAUACUGAAGAUCUUGAGUCCGGGAGAGGUGAGUGGAACUGCGAGUGUAGAGGUGAAAUUCGUAGAUAUUCGCAAGAACACCAGUGGCGAAGGCGGCUCACUGGCCCGGUACUGACGCUGAGGCACGAAAGCGUGGGGAGCAAACAGG